GACGAACGCUGGCGGCGUGCCUAAUUCAUGCAAGUUGAGCGCUGAAGGUUGGUACUUGUACCAACUGGAUGAGCAGCGAUCGGGUGAGUAACGCGUGGGGAAUCUGCCUUUGAGCGGGGGACAACAUUUGGAAACGAAUGCUAAUACCGCAUAAAAACUUUAAACACAAGUUUUAAGUUUGAAAGAUGCAAUUGCAUCACUCAAAGAUGAUCCCGCGUUGUAUUAGCUAGUUGGUGAGGUAAAGGCUCACCAAGGCGAUGAUACAUAGCCGACCUGAGAGGGUGAUCGGCCACAUUGGGACUGAGACACGGCCCAAACUCCUACGGGAGGCAGCAGUAGGGAAUCUUCGGCAAUGGACGAAAGUCUGACCGAGCAACGCCGCGUGAGUGAAGAAGGUUUUCGGAUCGUAAAACUCUGUUGGUAGAGAAGAACGUUGGUGAGAGUGGAAAGCUCAUCAAGUGACGGUAACUACCCAGAAAGGGACGGCUAACUACGUG
rnacentral:rRNA from 1 species